GGGCCGAUGGUCUAGCGGUAUGAUUCUCGCUUAGGGUAACACCCUUAGCAUGACAUGUGAGCAAUCACAUGUCGCAAAUUGCGAGAGGUCCCGGGUUCAAUUCCCGGUUGGCCCC
rnacentral:tRNA from 1 species